rnacentral:rRNA from 1 species
UACUAUACUGAUGAAUAUUAUGAAAAUCUUAAUUAUUAAUAGAUAUGUUCUUUAAAUUUGAAGAAUUUGGCGGUAAUUUAGUCUUGUUAGAGGAACCUGUUUUUGAAUCGAUACUCCACGUAUAAUCUUACUCAUCGUUUUAAAAGCUUAUAUACCAUCAUUAGCAGAUAAUUUUUAAAAAAUUAAUUAUUAAAUUUUAAAGAGAUUAAUUUAAAUUAGAUCAAGGUGUAGCCUAUAGGUGAGUUAAAAUGGGUUACAAUAAAAUUUAUUUAUAACGGAGUAAAUAUAGGAAGAGAAAUUUAUAGAAGGAGGAUUUAAUUGUAAUAUUAGUUUAAUAAGCUAAAAAGAUAUAAGCUCUAAAUUAU